GAGAGGGAGAGAGAGAGAGAGAGCUCAAUUUAAGUUGUUGAUUCUUAGAAGCUUCAAUCUAUGGCUUCUUGGGUUCUUUUACCCGUAGCUUCAGUAACCGGUCGCUGUCUAGUGGCUACUGUGAGAACUGAGAGGUCCUCCUCCAUCUGCGUUCGGUCUUCUCUGGACACUAAUGUUUCUGACAUGAGUGUAAAUGCUCCAAAAGGGUUGUUUCCACCUGGACACUACCGAGCUCCCGAGCAAAGUGGCUAUAAUUGGAGCUGGGCUUGCAGGCAUGUCAACAGUAAUUGAGCUUUUGGAUCAAGGCCACGAGGUUGGUCCAAUUUAUUUUCUAGUCCUCCGACUGCUCACGAGAAGCUUGCAGCCCAAGAUUAUAAGGAAUGCACAAAAGCUACUAAUACUACUGAUGAGCUGAGUCUUGUCUAAACACAUUGUCAUUUGUGAUUCAUUAGUUAGCACUGAGAAAAACCACCUCAUUAGAAUGGGAGAUAUUAGAAAGAAUUUAAAUACUCGUAUCCUAAUGUCGUUUGUACAAAUAAAAUAAUUGAAGAAAUAACAUUGGGCUAAAGUGGUAUUUUAUAUGACAAAA